AUAUAACAUUUGAAGCUUUGUCAUACUAGCAGAUUAUAUACUGUAUAUAAAAGCACAUGAACUGUGAUGUUAUCAACAUUGCACAUAAUGUUUUAUGAACUUAGCUCAUGCUUUCCAUUUGGUGCAUUGUAUGGCAUCAAAUGGUGUAAGGCUGUUUGGGAUUGAGUAAAAGGGCCUCUUGAUUUUUUUCAUGGGCGCCGUCAAGUGUCAUGAAUUCCAAUGUUGUUCUGGCCCCUGAAAAUGUGUAGGAGAGUAUUCUUAAGAAAGGGAUUAAAAUCUCUCAGAGGAAUGGGUGUGACAACUACAGCCUCCUCUGCAAUAUAUUCAACAGGGUCGCUACUAGUGGGAUGUUGUAGCAUAGUUCAACUAUAGGGCCAUCUGAUUCAAUCAGUGUUAUCUGCUGUUCAAGUUUUUAUCUAAUUUAGUUGCCCUUUCGAGAGGAUGUGCAGUGAAAGGAGACUUUGGCGUCAAGCUUUCUGCUUAAUUAUCAGCGGACGAGUGAUCUAUCUGCCGAGGUUAAAGGAUUACAGAUGCAGCAUUCCUUUUGUGUUCUGAAAGGACACAAUAGGAUUGUUACAGUUAAGUCGUAUGCAAUAGAUUUGUUACAAUUCAGGUGUGCUAUAUUUGUGUGAUGUUUGUGUCGCGUGUGUUUGCGAGAUUGUUAAUUGCAGUUGGACACUGAUAACUGCAAGUUUAUAAUAGAGAAAAAUGUGGAUUAGCUCAUGGAAUGCUCUUCGAAGUUGUUCACUAUUGUUGCUAAGGUUGGCUUGUGCUGGUGGAGAACCUAAACAAUUGUAUCACUUGUUCGGGAUGAUGACAAGUACAUUAUUGGAAAGAGCUCGAGCAUCACCAAGGUACUCUGACCACUUGAGGUCCUCUGGCUCACCUUCAAUGUGGAUUUCAGCUCCUUUGUUUGGAAGCAGCAACUGAUCUGACCAUGGAAACAUGCCACUGAUUUCCAUUAGAGGACUGUUGUAGCUCUGCAUCUCCAC